rnacentral:lncRNA from 1 species
UGGAAACCUAUACUCAGAAAACACAUCUAUACACUAAUCAGGAGUUUAAAAUCAGGGAAUGAUACCUUGUGUCAUUUAUAUCAUUAUAUGCAUUUGUCACUUCCUCAUAUUGCAGCUGCAGAGGUUAACGAAGCCAGAGGACAGCAGUGUCUGGUGCUGCAGGACCAGCGUUGAGGUUAAACUGUUGGAAAAUGGUUUGAACCCUGAAGGUGAGAUGAAAAUCACUCCUUCCCCAUAACUUAAGUAAACUGAAAUUCCUAUGAGAUGGGUUUGUUCAUUUAAAGGGACACUUCACUGCCCAGAUAAAAUCAUUGUUUAAUAAUUACUCCCAAUAAAAACAUACUGUUAAUAAUGUAUUUUUUCAUUGGGGGAGGGGUUUAGCUGAAAAAAAAAAACGUGCAAAAGUUCCAGAUUUCUUAUAUGAAGCUUUUACAAGCCCUCCCUUUCUAAGCUCGUCCAGACGUUCUGUGGUUGUCAAAUCACAGACUUCCCAAUGCAGCUCAAGUGAAGUCUUUGCAGGGCAGAUGCUCUGAGCAAUCACUUUGAGUUUAGCUCCGCUGAGAUAAACAAACCAGGAAAUAACAGGACCUGUUGUCUGACUGACAGUAAGGGAUGUGUCACAAUGUUUAUUUAUAAAAGUGCCAAUUUCUAUUGAAAUCUAUACUUUUAGUAAUGAUAAAAAAAAAAAAUUUAAAAAAAGGACACACUCUUCACGUGGGUUCUGGAGUGUAUCUUUAAGUACUUAAUUAAUUCAUGGUGCAAGUCAAGUAAGACAAGCUAUGGGGCAAACUGUUAUCAUAGGCUUUUAUUAGUAAUAUUUUUUUCGAUUCCUGGUAAUCAAAGAAUAGCCAAGGUCGUAACCACAAUCCUAGGCUUGUAAUUUUGAACCACGCCUGUUACUGCAUGUUUUUUGCUUUUGUUGCCAUUUAUAACACAAUCUCAAUAUGCUGAGAGCACAAGGUUAUGACAAACAAAAUUGAUUUUUAUUGGAAAUAUGUGAGCUGCAGGUUUUUCCCCCCAUUUUGUAAUGCAGUAGUAAUGAUAAAAGGUGACACGUGACAUUCCUGAAAAGGCCAGAGUCUAAUUUUGGCACCAUACCAUUGCUAACCCCGAGUCUCACCGAAUACUGAGAGAGAAAUGACACUUCUAAUAACAUAUUUGUGACAGCGCCAUUUUAACGCUCCAUAUUUGGAUUUAAUUACACCGCACAGUGUUGAAGUGAGUGCAUGGUUUUAAUGUAGUGGAUGAAUGGUUAAAGGACCACUAUAGUGCCAGGAAAACAAACGCAUUUUCCUGGCACUAUAGUAUUAAUAGGUCCCUCCCACCAUAAUGGCACCCCUCCGGCCGGGCUCUAGAUUGAGGAAGUGGUUAAAUCGGCGCUGGGGACUCUCCUCCUCUUUCGGUCAUCGGCUGAAUGCGCAUGCGCAGCAAGAGCCGCACGCGCAGUCAGUCAGUCCAUAGGAAAGCAUUCUCAAUGCUUUCCUAUGGACGCUGGCAUCUUCUCACUGUGAAAAUCACAGUGAGAAGCGCCUCUAGUGGAUGUCAAUGAGACAGCCACUAGAGGCUGGAUUAACCUAUAUGUUAACCCUAGCUGGACCUGGCACCCAGACCACUUCAUUAAGCUGCAGUGGUCUGGGUGCCUAUAGUGGUCCUUUAAUACAAUAUGGUUUAGGGUUAAUACAGUAGCCGUGGUGUAUAUAAAUAUAGUAACGUGGGAAAUAUACUCUGAAUUCAAAGAUUUGGUGUCAUAAUGUGAUAAACACAUAAGGGUUUAACCCCUUAAGGACACAUGACAUGUGUGACGUCAUGAUUCCCUUUUAUUCCAGAAGUUUGGUCCCUAAGGGGUUAAGGCUGAACUUAUGAGAAGUUUGAACUGUGGGAAGAACCAUAAAAUGUACGCUUUGCCACCUAUUAACGCUGCUUCUUUGAGCAUAUUCAAAGUGGACAGUGGGGUAGGGGACAUGGAGAUUUGUUUUGUAAUCUGUUUACAAAGCUUAAUAAGUGUAACUUUAUUGUAGUUUAUUUGCUUUAAUUAAUAACACCGGAAGCGUUUUGUGUUCAUCAAGUACGGCUAAGUGUGUUUCAUACGCAAACACUGUUCAUAUGUAUUUUUCUUUUUUUGAAGUUCAUGAUUAUGUUUGAGGUUUUUAUUAAUUAGUUGAAAAAAAAAUGCCAGUGGUGUAAGUCAUAGUUUGACUGCUUAACAUUAAAAACACCAAAAGUGAAAAAGCAAUGGAAAGAUAGGAUUAAGAUAUGAUUCAGAUAUUCUGAUAAUGUCAUCAUUAAUGGCAGUCACUGAUAUGUAGACAACUAACAAACAGCAAGUUGUGACUGAGACUAAAUUGAAAAUAUGUUGUGAGCAUAGGAUAUGAAAAUAAAUGAUGAAAAAGAUGCAAUUGUCUUCC